UUUUCUUCAAAGUGUGCGAUUAAUGAUAUUAGGUUUCUUUUGAGUUUUUCCCGUGGCCCAUACCAUAUUUGCGGUGCUGUGAAUCUGUGAAAAUAAUUUUGCUGCUAAAAGGUGAACUGAAUGUUGUUCUUUCCCAGUUGGAAGAUGGAUGGAAGUUUUCCAUGGUAGUAGGGCUUGGAAAGAAGGAAGUUGAUGCUGUAAUUGUGGUGCAAUUUCUGGUGUAAAUAAUAAAUAGUGAAAAUGAGAUUUCAUCAACUUUUUAUUUUAGUUUUAAAUCAUGAUACUAUUUGUUUGUUUUUUUUCUUAGGUUGAUGAUGAUACAAAGUGUGUUGAUGACAUGAUUUUGGCAUGUCCAAUGUUUUAUGAAUUUAGUAGAGUUACAAAAUCAUUUAAACAAGUUUUGUUGUU